GACGAACGCUGGCGGCGCGCUUAACACAUGCAAGUCGAACGGAAAGGCCUGCUUUCCCUUGUGGUUUGCGGGUACUCGAGUGGCGAACGGGUGAGUAACACGUGAGUGAUCUGCCCCCAACUUGGGUAUAAGCCUGGGAAACUGGGUCUAAUUCCCGAUAGGACUGCAGGGUGGUGCCUGUGGUGGAAAACGAUUUUCUAGUGGUUGGGGAUGAGCUCGCGGCCUAUCAGCUUGUUGGUGGGGUAAUUGCCUACCAAGGCGGCGACGGGUAGCCGGCCGGGGAGGGGGGACGGCGAAAUUGGGACUGGGAUCAGGCCCAGACUGCUGCGGGAGGCAGCAGAGGGGCAGAUUAGACAAUGGGCGGAAGCCUGAUGCAGCGAGGCAGCGUGGGGGAUGACGGCCUUCGGGUUGUAAGCUACUUGCGAACGAGAGGAAGCCACCUGGUUGGAAGGGUGGUGACGGUAGUGGUAGAAGAAGCACCGGCUAACUACGUG
rnacentral:rRNA from 1 species